rnacentral:rRNA from 1 species
AUUGAACGCUGGCGGCAGGCCUAACACAUGCAAGUCGAACGAGUGGAGGGCGGGUGAGUCAUGUCUGGGAAACUGCCUGAUGGAGGGGGAUAACUACGGGAACCGGUAGCUAAUACCGCAUACCAUCGGAUGUGCCCGGAUGGGAUGAGCUAGUGGGUGGGGUAACGGCUCACUUAGGCGACGAUCCCUAGCUGGUCUGAGAGGAGGACCAGCCACACUGGAACUGAGACACGGUCCAGACUCCUACGUGAGGCCGCAGUGGGGAAUAUUGCACAAUGGGCGCAAGCCUGAUGCAGCCAUGCCGCGUGUGUGAAGACGGCCUUCGGGUUGUAAAGCACUUUCAGCGGGUGGGCGUUACCCGCAGAAGAAGCACCGGCUAACUCCGUGCCAGCAGCCGCGGUAAUUC